rnacentral:rRNA from 1 species
AGCGAACGCAGGCGGCAGGCCUAACACAUGCAAGUCGAACGAACUCUUCGGAGUUAGUGGCGGACGGGUGAGUAACACGUGGGAACGUGCCUUUUGGUUCGGAAUAACUCAGGGAAACUUGUGCUAAUACCGAAUGUGCCCUUCGGGGGAAAGAUUUAUCGCCAUUAGAGCGGCCCGCGUCUGAUUAGCUAGUUGGUGAGGUAACGGCUCACCAAGGCGACGAUCAGUAGCUGGUCUGAGAGGAUGACCAGCCACACUGGGACUGAGACACGGCCCAGACUCCUACGGGAGGCAGCAGUGGGGAAUCUUGCGCAAUGGGCGAAAGCCUGACGCAGCCAUGCCGCGUGAAUGAUGAAGGUCUUAGGAUUGUAAAAUUCUUUCACCGGGGACGAUAAUGACGGUACCCGGAGAAGAAGCCCCGGCUAACUUCGUG